GUACUCGCUUUGGCAGCAUAUAUAUUAAAAUUGGAAAGAUACAGAGCAGAUCAGCAUGGCCCCUGCACAAGGUUGACAUGCAAAUUCAUGAAGCAUUCCAUAUUUUU
ensembl:snRNA U6 U6 spliceosomal RNA